AUGGAACGACCGGCCACCAACCGCAGCGCGUCAGGGUCAGACGGUUGGGGAAGAGGAAAUCAACGAGCUUGGAGGAAACAGAGGGGGGCGACACGAAAGAGGAGAAGAAGACCCACCGAUUCCUGGACGGUGAGCACGGGGCGGCGGUGGGCGUCCGAUAGGAGGCAGCGGCGGCGGAGGCUGAAGAGGACGCCGUCGACGCGCAGCAACAGGGCGCCCGUGGCGGCGUCGGUGACGGUGAAGUCGUUGCCGGACAUGCUGAGCGUCUUGGCGACGGCCAGCGCCGCCUCGUCCCCCGCGCAGAAGCGCGCGUCCACCACCGCCAGCGCCGGCACCGCGUCCAUCCCUUUCGGCGCCACACGCGCGCACGCCGUCAAGCAGAAGCAGGUGGCGGCGGAUCGGAUCGGAUCGAUCGGGCGAUGGUGGGGAUGGGCGCACGCGUCUUCCGUCCCCUGUCCUGGUUUCGGACCGGGAUGUUUGACCAGCUCGGCAACACCAGCAUUAACAAUGGCAGCUCGGCUUCAGGAUAUAUAG
rnacentral:rRNA from 1 species